GAAAUGUACAGUACUAAUUCCAUUUUAUGCAUAAAAUACAAACACUUUAAUUUAAUUGUAUAUAUCUAUAUAAUGAUGGCAGGGAUUGAAGGGGUUUACCUCUGAAUGAAUUCCAGAGGGCAGGCUGUCUCAUCUUGAUACUGAAGGCUGAAAAUGUAGUAGGUUGCAAACAUAGCAGCAAGUCCAAUUGCAAAUGUUGGUGUGAUGCCCUCAGAGCCCUUAAAGGUAUCAGGCGAGGACUUGCAGGAAGACUGAGAGUUGUCUCAACGUCAGCUGCAGUGGCAGAUACCUGAAGGGAACAAAUACAUUAUCCUUACCAUAAUAAGAUUUUUAAGAAGAAAAUUUAUAAAAAGGACAAUAAUUAGUAAACACUAGGUGGAAUGUAACCAAGACGUGAACGAGAUGCAAGACCCGAUGAAUUUGAUGAAGAACACUUGAGAAUGUGCAGCACGUCAUCUAAAUUGUACGU